rnacentral:rRNA from 1 species
GCGGUGGAUGAUGUGGUUUAAUUCGAUGCAACGCGAAAACCUUACCACCUUGACAUGGCAGGAAUCCUAAGAGAUUUGGGAGUGCUACGAAAGAGAACCUGCACACAGGUGCUGCAUGGCUGUCGUCAGCUCGUGUCGUGAGAUGUUGGGUUAAGUCCCGCAACGAGCGCAACCCUUGCCAUUAGUUGCUACGAAAGGGCACUCUAAUGGGACUGCCGGUGACAAACCGGAGGAAGGUGGGGAUGACGUCAAGUCCUCAUGGCCCUUAUGGGUAGGGCUUCACACGUCAUACAAUGGUCGGUACAGAGGGUUGUCAAGCCGCGAGGCGGAGCCAAUCCCACAAAGCCGAUCGUAGUCCGGAUUGUUCUCUGCAACUCGAGAGCAUGAAGUCGGAAUCGCUAGUAAUCGCAGGUCAGCCUACUGCGGUGAAUACGUUCCCGGGUCUU